rnacentral:misc_RNA from 1 species
AACAAGGCGUACCUGCGGACCUGCGGAGGGAUCAUUACCAGAGUGCCUUCAGGCUCUCCAACCCACUGUGAACAUACCUACGUUCCCCCGGCGGGCUCAGCGCGCGGCGGCUCCGGCCGCCCGCGUCCGCCGAGGGCAUCUCAAACCCGAAUUUAUUCGUGUCUUCUGAGGGGCGAAAGCCCGUAAAACAAAAUGAAUCAAAACUUUCAACAACGGAUCU